GCUUAACGCGAAGAACCUUACCUACACUUGACAUGUCCGGACGAUUUCCAGAGAUGGAUUUCUUCCCGCAAGGGACUGGAAAACAGGUGCUGCAUGGCCGUCGUCAGCUCGUGUCGUGAGAUGUUUGGUUAAGUCCAGCAACGAGCGCAACCCCUACUGUCUGUUGCCAUCAGGUUAAGCUGGGCACUCUGACGGGACUGCCGGUGACAAGCCGGAGGAAGGCGGGGAUGACGUCAAGUCAUCAUGGCCCUUACGUGUAGGGCUACAAGCGUGCUACAAUGGCAGUGACAAUGGGCAGCCACUUCGCAAGGAGGCGCUAAUCCCAAAAAGCUGUCUCAGUUCAGAUUGUCCUCUGCAACUCGAGGGCAUGAAGUUGGAAUCGCUAGUAAUCGGCCAUCAGCAUGGGCCGGUGAAUACGUUCCCGGGUCUUGUACACACCG
rnacentral:rRNA from 1 species